AAGAGUCUGGACAAAUGCCACAAGGGGGCAGCACUUUUCUACCACACCCAACAACAUCAGAAGCAUGCAGGGAUGUUGACGUGUUACAAUUGGUACUAGACUGCUCAGAAACAAAUAGCAACACCUUAAGACUGUGAACAGAGGCAUAGCUGAUCAGUAAAUUCAGGAUGAGAAGAUCAGUGGUAUUUAUUCUCGUAGCUGCGUCAGUUGCUCUUGGUGAUCGCAUUGUCCCAGAUCAAGCUGUUGUUAUCAGAGAUGAAAGCGACCGGGUCACAUUGAGUUGCUCGUAUGAAACAAGCAGUGAAUAUGUUGAUCUUUAUUGGUACAGACAGUAUCCUAAAAGUGAGCCACAGUACAUACUGUGGAAAGGUGCACGAUCAAGAGAUGAUCAGGGUAGUACACCAGAUCCUCAUUUUGAAUCUUCUACAAGCAGAACAUCCACUGAACUGAUUAUUAAAGCAGCUACUCUGAAAGAUUCAGCUCUCUAUUACUGUGCUCUUUGGAAAGACCCAGUGAUACAAAGUUUCUGAGAAGCUUUACAAAAACACACAUGCUUUGAACUCAAAAUCAUCAAAGUAUUAGCCAAACCAAAAUGUAUUAU